rnacentral:rRNA from 1 species
UAACGCGUGGAUAACCUGCCUCAUACAGGGGGAUAACAGUUAGAAAUGACUGCUAAUACCGCAUAAGCACACGGGAGCGCAUGCUUCCGGGUGAAAAGCUCCGGCGGUAUGAGAUGGAUCCGCGUCUGAUUAGCUGGUUGGCGGGGUAACGGCCCACCAAGGCGACGAUCAGUAGCCGACCUGAGAGGGUGGCCGGCCACAUUGGGACUGAGACACGGCCCAAACUCCUACGGGAGGCAGCAGUGGGGAAUAUUGCACAAUGGGGGAAACCCUGAUGCAGCAACGCCGCGUGGGUGAAGAAGUAUUUCGGUAUGUAAAGCCCUAUCAGCAGGGAAGAGAAUGACGGUACCUGACUAAGAAGCCCCGGCUAACUACGUGCCAGCAGCCGCGGUAAUACGUAGGGGGCAAGCGUUAUCCGGAUUUACUGGGUGUAAAGGGAGCGUAGACGGUUGUGCAAGUCUGAAGUGAAAGCCCGCGGCUCAACUGCGGAACGGCUUUGGAAACUGUGUAACUGGAGUGCUGGAGAGGUAAGCGGAAUUCCUGGUGUAGCGGUGAAAUGCGUAGAGAUCAGGAGGAACACCGGCGGCGAAGGCGGCUUACUGGACAGUAACUGACGUUGAGGCUCGAAAGCGUGGGGAGCAAACAGGAUUAGAUACCCUGGUAGU